AUUGAACGCUGGCGGCAUGCUUUACACAUGCAAGUCGAACGGCAGCGCGGGGGCAACCCUGGCGGCGAGUGGCGAACGGGUGAGUAAUGCAUCGGAACGUAUCCUGUAAUGGGGGAUAACGUAGCGAAAGUUACGCUAAUACCGCAUACGCUCGAGAGAGGAAAGUGGGGGAUCGCAAGACCUCACGUUAUAGGAGCGGCCGAUGUCCGAUUAGCUAGUUGGUGGGGUAAAGGCCUACCAAGGCGACGAUCGGUAGCUGGUCUGAGAGGAUGAUCAGCCACACUGGGACUGAGACACGGCCCAGACUCCUACGGGAGGCAGCAGUGGGGAAUUUUGGACAAUGGGCGAAAGCCUGAUCCAGCCAUGCCGCGUGCGGGAAGAAGGCCUCGGUUGUAACGC
rnacentral:rRNA from 1 species